UGUCAUGCUUUUCCACAGCUUUCUUGAACUUUCCUCUCCCUCGUCAUAGAGUAUAGUUUCUCCGUUCGUACAACGAGGCCAACUGAAGGCCAAUUUUGGUUUGAAAUUCUUCGCGGAAAGUUCAAGAAAGCUGUGGGAAAAUAUGGCGU
rnacentral:pre_miRNA from 1 species